ensembl:misc_RNA Y_RNA Y RNA
GGCUGGUCCGAUGGCAGUGGGUUAUCAGAACUUACUAACAUUAGUGUCACUAAAGUUGGUAUACCACCCCCCCCCACUGCUAAAUUUGACUGGCUUUUU